rnacentral:lncRNA from 1 species
GGGCCGGGCGCGCACCAGUGGCGGCGGCAGCGGCAGCGGCAGCGGCGGCAGCAGCAGCAUCUUUCUCCCAGAGCCGGUGCAGGUUUCCCACACUUGGAACGCAGACCAAGCGCCGCCCAGCAGGCAGAGCUGAACUUCAUCACCCAGUCCCCAGAGCCGGCAAGACAUGGGCCCCAUUUACCAAGCCCUGACGCCUUUCAUUUAACCAGAAGACGUGGAGGGG